CUUCCUCAAUCUGUAUCUGUAAACAAAAUGAAGUAUUCUUUAGAAGGGAGAAGGUUAGAUGAGAGAAUGAACUUGGAGGGUGGAUUCAUCACAGUAAUGGGGCUGGGUCAGAACCUCCACCCCUGGGGGAUUAGAAGAGUUUCCUUGGUGUGACCUUUUGGGAGUUGGCCCUGGUUGGAGUUGAAAGAGAUGAGAGUUUACUGAAUGUGGAAAGAAUGAGUGAAGGUGGACCUCGGGGCUAGAGGCCUUCCUGCCGGGAUCUGCAGGACAACACAAAACCCUCCAGGAGAGAGAUCUGCCCCCGACAGUCGACUAGGCUCAGAAUUCCACCUUUGAACCGCACUUUUGGGCCAAAGGGAAGGGGGAGUUGGUCUCCUCGCCUGUCACCCGUGUGGCCCAUGAGCGUCUGCCUCCUCCAACAAGAAGCUCUACAGUGUCUCUCUGUCAGGGGCAACGGGCCACGAUAGGGAACGGCAGCUCCUGCAAAAAUGAACGAUCUGGUGGGUGUCGCAGGUGGGCACAUACCUCCAGACAAAAGAGACAAGCAUGGUACAGAUGGAGGGCCCUGGUUUGGGAGUUGAAAUAACCAGGGUUCAAAUCUUGCCCCACUCCUGGACCUGUUUCCCCGUCUCUAAGACAAAGAUCUUGGACCAGCUGGCCUCCGAGCCCCUUCAGCCCUCUGCCUCCUUCUCUUGCCCCUUGUUUUCUCUGCUCUAAAACCUCCCACAUCAGUGGGACCUUGGUGGUCCACAAAGAAAGAAGGUCAGCUUGCUCUGGCCACUGCGUAUCAUGAAGAUUACACGAUCCAUACAUGUCCCUGCACAUUUGAAAAAAAGAAAGGUAGAUUUCAUCUGGAAAAAACAUUUAAUCUCCCACAAGAGCCAGCAAACUGAGCUGUACAUUCCAUAGAUGUGGAACAAAAUCAGGGACAACGGAUGUCUGGUUCCUGCCUUUCCAGAUGUAUAGCGAGUGAGUCAUUGCAUUGGACCUGGAAGGAGCCCCAGAGGCUUCUGGGUUGGCCCUCGGAUUUAGACUUGAAGAUGCUGAGCCUCAGAAAGGGGGAAACAUUUUCCCGCUCUGUUCAUCAUCGCUAUUCCCUGAACCUCUUAGAAAUCCAUUUUAUAGAGAAGAGAGCUCAGCAUUCAUCUUUCAUGACUCCGGGUAUAUAAGUAUAUAAAAUAAGUAUACAAAUCAAACACUUACUGAUAAUAAAUCAUAAUUUUAUAGUUCCCACAUUUGAAUGUAGUUUUUCUUGCAUUGUGGUCUAAAAAGGAAGCCUUUACUAGUUCUGUCUUUCUGCAUUUGAUUGUGAGGUUUUUAUGCCCUGAUACACAAUCAGUUUUUGUGUAGGUGCCGUGUGCUGCUGAGAAAAAGGUGUAUUCCAUUACUGUUCUGUAAAAAAUGACCAACAGGAUGAUUUCAGAAAGGCC
rnacentral:lncRNA from 1 species